UUUUUUUGUAAAAAGAAAUCGUAACAAGGUCUCCGGUGGUGAACCAGCGGAGGGAUCAUUAGCGAGUGAAUUAUANACUCCAAACCCAUGUGAACUUACCUACUGUUGCCUCGNCAGGCCGUGNUAUUCGGUACGGUUAGCUGUCCUGCAGCGGACCUACCCUNGAGAGGAGCUACCCUGGAGUAGAGUUGGGCUUGCGCGCUGGAGAGAAGCUACCCUGGAGUAAUGAAAGCUGCGGCCGAUUUACCCUGGAGAGGAGCUGCCCUGGUGCGGAGCCCGACUCAUACCCUGGAGAGAGGCUACCCUGGAGUAGGAAAGCUAUCAGCAGGGCGGCUCUCAGCCUGUAGCACGCUACAAGGCCUGCCGAAGGACCCCCUAAACUCUGCAUUAUACUGUAUCUCUGAGCGAAUUAUACAAAUAAGUUAAAACUUUCAACAACGGAUCUCUUGGUUCUGGCAUCGAUGAAGAACGCAGCGAAAUGCGAUAAGUAAUGUGAAUUGCAGAAUUCAGUGAAUCAUCGAAUCUUUGAACGCACAUUGCGCCUAACAGUAUUCUGUUAGGCAUGCCUGUUCGAGCGUCAUUUCAACCCCCAAGCCCUAUUUGCUUGACGUUGGGAGCUUACAGCUGCUGUAACUCCUUAAAUUUAGUGGCGGAGCUAGGUCAUGCUCUGAGCGUAGUAAUCCUUUUUUUCUCGCUCUUGAUGCUGCCCUAUAUCCUGCCGUAAAACCCCCCCUAAAUUUUAUUCUGGUUGACCUCGGAUCAGGUAGGAAUACCCGCUGAACUUAAGCAUAUCAGCAAAAGAAACCAACAGGGAUUGCCCUAGUAACGGCGAGUGAAGCGGCAACAGCUCAAAUUUGAAAUCUGGCCCUAGGGUCCGAAUUGUAAUUUGCAGAGGAUGCUUUUGGCGAGGUGCCUUCCGAGUUCCCUGGAACGGGACGCCUUAGAGGGUGAGAGCCCCGUACGGUUGGACACCAAGCCUCUGUAAAGCUCCUUCGACGAGUCGAGUAGUUUGGGAAUGCUGCUCUAAAUGGGAGGUAAAUUUCUUCUAAAGCUAAAUACCGGCCAGAGACCGAUAGCGCACAAGUAGAGUGAUCGAAAGAUGAAAAGCACUUUGAAAAGAGGGUUAAACAGCACGUGAAAUUGUUGAAAGGGAAGCGUUUACGGCCAGACCUUUUCCUAGCGGAUCAUCCGGUGUUCUCACCGGUGCACUUCGCUAGGUUUAGGCCAGCAUCGGCUUCUGUAGGGGGAUAAAAGCAGUGGGAAAGUAGCUCUCUAGGGAGUGUUAUAGCCCUAUGCAUAAUACCUCUACGGGGGCCGAGNUCCGCGCUUAGGCAAGGAUGCUGGCGUAAUGGUCGUCAACGACCCGUCU
rnacentral:rRNA from 1 species